rnacentral:rRNA from 1 species
GAUGAACGCUAGCGGCAGGCUUAACAUAUGCAAGUCGAGGGGCAGCGCGGGAUAGCAAUAUCCUGGCGGCGACCGGCGGAAGGGUGCGUAACGCGUGAGCGACAUGCCCGUUGCCCGGGGACAACCGGUGGAAACGCCGACUAAUCCCCGAUGGGAUAUUGUGCCGCAUGGCACGAUAUUGAAAGUUACGGCGGCGACGGAUUGGCUCGCGUCCGAUUAGCUUGUUGGCGGGGUAACGGCCCACCAAGGCUGCGAUCGGUAGGGGUUCUGAGAGGAAGGCCCCCCACAAUGGGACUGAGACACGGCCCAUACUCCGACGGGAGGCAGCAGUGAGGAAUAUUGGUCAAUGGGCGGAAGCCUGAACCAGCCAUGCCGCGUGCGGGAAGGAGGCCCUAUGGGCUGUGAACCGCUUUUGCCUGGGGGCAAUAAGGGCGUCGCGCACGUCCGAUGAGAGUACCAGGCGAAUAAGCAUCGGCUAACUCCGUG